rnacentral:tRNA from 5 species
CGAAUCCCUCUCUUUCC